rnacentral:rRNA from 1 species
GAUGAACGCUGGCGGUAUGCUUAACACAUGCAAGUCGAACGGACUCUUCGGAGUUAGUGGCGGACGGGUGAGUAACGCGUGAGAAUCUGGCUUUGGGUUCGGGACAACCACUGGAAACGGUGGCUAAUACCGGAUGUGCCGAGAGGUAAAAGAGAAAUUGCCUGAAGAUGAGCUCGCGUCUGAUUAGCUAGUUGGUGAGGUAAAGGCUCACCAAGGCAGCGAUCAGUAGCUGGUCUGAGAGGAUGAGCAGCCACACUGGGACUGAGACACGGCCCAGACUCCUGCGGGAGGCAGCAGUGGGGAAUUUUCCGAAAUGGGCGAAAGCCUGACGGAGCAAUACCGCGUGAGGGAAGAAGGCUCUUGGGGUGUAAACCUCUUUUCUUAGGGAAGAACAAAAUGACGGUAACUAAGGAAUCAGCAUCGGCUAACUCCGUG